GCCUACGGGGGGCAGCAGUGAGGAAUAUUGGUCAAUGGGCGCGAGCCUGAACCAGCCAAGUCGCGUGAGGGAAGACGGUCCUAUGGAUUGUAAACCUCUUUUGUCGGGGAGCAAAAGACGCCACGUGUGGCGUUCAGAGAGUACCCGAAGAAAAAGCAUCGGCUAACUCCGUGCCAGCAGCCGCGGUAAUACGGAGGAUGCGAGCGUUAUCCGGAUUUAUUGGGUUUAAAGGGUGCGCAGGCGGAAGAUCAAGUCAGCGGUAAAAUUCAGAGGCUCAACCUAUUCGAGCCUUUGAAACUGGUUUU
rnacentral:rRNA from 1 species